AUUACAUUUCAAAAUGAAUUUUAGAAGAAACACAUUCAAACCACAGCACAUUUCUAGACAAACUUUCAGACACAGAUGUAGAGAAAUUUUAAUGAAAUUGAAUUUUAACCAAGUGAAGACAACCCACAGAUUUGCAAAUACCCUUCUAAGAUUCUUCAAAGAUAUCUCAAUGGUUAAUCACGUUGUUUAGGAAAAUGAGAACAGUGACAGCAAGACCUUCUCAGUGGUACAAUGGCCUCAGCAGCAGUAAAAGAGGGUAGUAAACAUUAUGCAGACUUUGUGUGGGCUCUGGAUCACCCACAGAGAAGAAAGUUAUUUUGUAUGUAUGUGUGUAACUGUAUGUUUAAGAGAAAUGAACUGUUUAUUUACAGGGAUUAUUGAGGAGCAGAACCUCACUUGGGUAGAUGCAGGUGUAACUUUUAAGAUCAAUAUCCAUGGCUUUGAAUAGAUAGGCUAGAGAUACAGCAGAUUUACUUAGUUCCCCAAAGAUGCAUGUUGGGUGAUACCCACCUAUAUUAGUUUUCCAAUUACUGCAAAUUCAGUAGGUUAAAGUAACAAUUGUCUUAUCUCACAGUUCUGUAUGUCUGAAGUCCAGGAAAGUAUGGCUGGAUUUUUCUCAGGGUCUUAUAAGGUGGAAAUCAAGGGGUCAGCUGUCUGCAUUUUCAUCAGGAGAUUGGCUACUCCUCCUAGAUUAUUCCUAGUACUGGUAGAAUUUGGUUCCUUGUGACAGCAGGUCUAGGGUCUCCAUUUUUUAUUGGCUGUCAGCUCCUUGCAGUUUCUUUCUGGUCCCCUUGAUCUUCAAAUGCACAUCAAAUCUGUCUCAUGUUUAAAAUCCUGUGAUACCCACUUCUGCUUCAAGACAGAAAACUCUGCAUUUAAAGGGCUCUGGUGAUUAGGUUAGGCCAACCUGAAUAGUAUUUAUUUUGUCAAAUAAUGUAACAUAAUCGCUGGAGUGACAUAUCAUAUUUUUAGGUUCCACUCAUGCUGAAAGUGAAGGACAUUAUACAUGGGCAUGAGUCACUGGAGGUCAUUCUUGGAAUUCUGCCUACCAUACCAAUGGAGAUCAAAUGCCAGGAAAGUCAGGAAUAGAAAUUCAGAGAGCAUACAAUCAAAUAUAUUAAAUUAGAAUUCAAAACUAUUCAAGAGAUGGUUCAGAGUUUUGGCCAAGCAGUGGAUCAAAUUUUCUUACUACUGCUUAAUCAAGGAUACAGUACAGAAGUAAAAUGAAUUGAUCUUUAUUAAAAUGGAGCAAAGACCAGGUCUAGGAAGGAAAGGCAAGAAGGUGGAAUAGAUUUGCUCUUACUGGAAGAACACUGGAGAUUCAAGACAAGAAACAGAAUUGUUUUAGUCCCUGAGUUAACAAAUAAAAGAAAGAUGAGACCAGAACAGUUGUCAAUGAAGGAGCAGUGAAGUAGAAAGGAAGGAUGGAGUGAAUGUGGAGAGCACUUUUCUGAAGAGAAUAAACUUAGUUGUCAGAUGAAAGGAGAUUUAUAAUUAGCUUUGUCCUUACAAAUUUUGAGGUAACUUACCAUGGAAAUACUUUUUCUUAUCAGUUGAUUAAUCUGGGGGGAGGUAGCAUAAUCCUUUGAAAUUCCAGUGCGUAGAAAACUAGGCUCGACCUCAAGAUGAAGCCUCAAAAAAGAAAUGUCUGUUAGAAUCCAGUUAACAGGAGAACACCUACUGCGACUUUAUUAUCAGCAAGUUGGUGAAAACUUCCUGAAGAAGAAAUGUGGGAUGAUACAGAAACUGAUUAAAGUCUCAGAACAGCAAAUAGUUUCUCCUCUUGUGAAUUAAUUCACCUUCCACAAUUAAACAGAGAUAACUCAGGGUACCUCAAAUACUGAUGAGCUUGACAGAAAUGAAUUGCCACCUAAUUCCAUUGAUGGAGAAAGAUAAGACAAUGAGCAAAGAAAAGGGACUUUCAGAGAGAAGAAUUGUUGAGAAGGUAGCAGUCCUUUCUCUUUCCAUGAGGUAGUUGCUAUUCAUUACUCUGUGAUGGGGACUGGGAACACAAGAAUCACCACUUAGGGAUUAAUGAAUUCAAGAUCUGUACCUUCCAUUUUGAUCCAAAUUUGAACUUAAAUUUAUUCAGGACACCAACUGAAUACUUCUACCUAAAGGUAAAACUCAUAUCAUAUUUCCCUCCCAAGCUGCAUUUCCUCUGAGUUCCUGACUUGACGGAGUCAUUUAUUUGUACAAUAUAUGAACGCUGAGAGUUGUGCCACAUUUCUCUCUCUUUUGCCCUGGACAUCCAAUUUUUAUGCAACACUUUCAUUUCUAACUCCUAAAUAUCUUAGUUUACUAUCUCAAUCACUGCAACCACUGACAUGUUUAUGCCCUUUUUACUAGCUUGCCAAAUAAAUAUAAAAGAGCUCAUUAAUCUCUCUAGUUCCUUAUUAAUCCUCAUUUCAUCUAAUCUAGUAUUAGUAUUAUACCCAAGUAUAAUCUUCCAAAUUGCAAAAAUCUGUUUCUAUCACUCUUUCUGCAGCAUCCUUCACUGGCUCCCCCAUGGUCUACAAUAUAUACAAUCUAAGUUUUAAAAAGAAAAAAACUUAUGACUAUCCCUUAUUUUGAAAAAAGGAAAAUUAGUCCUUUACUAGAAAAAUAGCACUGUAUUAUAAUGUCAAGUUCACACUAGAGUCUACGAUGGUGUCAAAGAGCUCUAUAUUUUUCUUCUUGAGUCACUUUGAUAUCCUCCCACAGUAAGACCAUUACAGUUGGUGUAUUGGUCUGUUCUCACACUGCUAUGAAGAAAUACCUGAGGCUGUGUAAUUUAUAAAGCAAAGAGGGUUAAUUGGUUCACAGUUCCACAUUGCUGGGGAGGCCUCAGAAAACUUACAAUCAUGGUGGAAGGCAAAAGAGAGGCAGGCACCUUCUUCACAGGGUGGCAGGAUGGAGUGAGUGCCAGCAGGGGAAAUGCCAGAUGCUUGUAAAACCAUCAGAUCUCGUGAGACUCACUCAUUAUCAUGAGAACAGCAUGGGGGAAACUGCUCCCAUGAUUUAAUUACCUACACCUGGUGCCACCCUUGACACGUGUGGAUUAUAGAGAUUAUAAUUCAAGGUAAGAUUUAGAUGGGGACACAGAGCCAAACCAUAUCAGUUGGGUACUGAGAAGGACAUACUGUAUUAAUCAUGCCUUCUUAUUGUCUGUAUUUUCUAAUGUUUUGACAUCCAUAUUUUCUGAUGUUUUGACAUCUGGGGACUUGCUGAUCUUGGAGGGACUGACCCUCUCAGGGUUAACUCAUUCCUAGGGGUAGCAAACUGCUUUCCCUAGAGCAUGCCUUUCAUAUCAAAUCAACCAAUCCAAACCUCUACUCCAACCCACCUUCUUUAUUGGGCUCUCAUACUCUGAGCCCCUAUUCUCCUACCCUAAUUACCACAGGGCCAGGUACUAAACAACUUGAGAUAAUCCCUACACUUUGUAGCCUGCUCAAAAAUUUAAACCAGCCAAUGCUAAACCUAUUUAGCCUGUGUACCCUGCCUCACUCAUUUGUUCAGUGAAAACCACAAUAAAGUUUCUUGCCAAUGUUUCCUGUCACUCCUUCUAUCUUCUGACCCACUGUUGUGAUUCUUAUUGCUAUGAUUUUUUUCUAACUUGGUCAUGAGGUCUCUCUUUUUAGACUAGCCAUAAACCAAUAUAGCCACUCUCUAGGAGACCUCUGACUCAG
rnacentral:lncRNA from 1 species